rnacentral:RNase_P_RNA from 1 species
AUUCCAAGAGGAAAGUCCGGGCUCCAUAGAGCAAAGAGGAUAGCUAACGGCUAUUGGAAGUAAUUCUAAGGAAAGUGCAACAGAAAAUAAACCGCCAUUUUGGUAAGGGUGAAAAGGUGGUGUAAGAGACCACCAAAUUUUUAGGAAACUGAAAAUGUUUUGUAAACCCCCUCUGGAGCAAGACUAAGAAAGAAAGGUUAAGGGCUGCUCGUCCAGCUUUCAUGGUAAGUUGCUUGAGCUUAUAAGCGAUUGUAAGACUAGAUAAAUAAUUAACUAAUACAAAACCCGGCUUACGUGAUGCC